GGGGUUGUGGCUCAGUGGCAGAGCGCUUGCCUAGCAUGCACCAGGCACUGGGUUCGAUCCUCAGCACCACA
rnacentral:tRNA from 1 species